GACAGAGGCCCCAAGCGUUAGGCGGAAUCACUGGGCUUAAAGCGUGUGUAGGCGGAUCGUUAAGUGUCUUGUGAAAUCCCACGGCUCACCCGUGGAACUGCUGGGCAUACUGGCGAUCUUGGGCCAACUAGGGGCGAGUCGGAACAAGCGGUGGAGCGGUGAAUGCGUAGAUAUCGCUGGAACGCCGAAGGUGAAACAGACUGCUGGGUGCGCCGACGCUGAGACACGAAAGCCAGGGAGCAAACGGG
rnacentral:rRNA from 1 species